rnacentral:rRNA from 1 species
CCUACGGGAGGCUGCAGUAGGGAAUAUUGCUCAAUGGGGGAAACCCUGAAGCAGCAACGCCGCGUGGAGGAUGAAGGUUUUCGGAUUGUAAACUCCUUUUGUUAGAGAAGAUAAUGACGGUAUCUAACGAAUAAGCACCGGCUAACUCCGUGCCAGCAGCCGCGGUAAUACGGAGGGUGCAAGCGUUACUCGGAAUCACUGGGCGUAAAGAGCGCGUAGGCGGGAUAGCAAGUCAGAUGUGAAAUCCGAUGGCUUAACCAUAGAACUGCAUUUGAAACGGUUAUUCUAGAGUUUGGUAGAGGUAGGUGGAAUUCUUAGUGUAGCGGUCACAUCCGUA